UCACUUUUAACAACGGAUGUCUUGGUUCUCGUAACGAUGAAGAACGCAGCGAAACGCGAUAUGUAAUGUGAAUUGCAAGACAACGUGAAUCAUCAAAUCUUUGAACGCACAUUGCACUCCUCUUUCGAGGAGUACGCUUGGCUGAGCGUCA
rnacentral:rRNA from 1 species